rnacentral:rRNA from 1 species
CGGAGGGUGCAAACGUUGCUCGGAAUCAUUGGGCGUAAAGCGCACGUAGGCGGUCCAGCAAGUCGGGUGUGAAAGCCCUCGGCUUAACCGAGGAAGAGCAUUCGAAACUACUGGGCUUGAGUACUGAAGAGGAUCGCGGAAUUCCCGGUGUAGAGGUGAAACUCGUAGAUAUCGGGAGGAACACCAGUGGCGAAGGCGGCGAUCUGGGCAGAUACUGACGCUGAUGUGCGAAAGCGUGGGGAGCAAACUGGAUUAGAUACCCUGGUAGUCCACGCCGUAAACGAUGAGCGCUAGUCGUCGCGGGUAUUGACCCCUGCGGCAACGAAGUUAACGCAUUAAGCGCUCCGCCUGGGGAGUACGGCCGCAAGGCUA